rnacentral:rRNA from 1 species
GUGUCAGCAGCCGCGGUAAUACGGGGGGAGCAAGCGUUGUUCGGAUUUACUGGGCGUAAAGGGCGCGUAGGCGGCCACCGCAAGUCAAUUGUGAAAUCUCCGGGCUUAACUCGGAAAGGUCAACUGAUACUGCGGGGCUAGAGUGCAGAAGGGGCAACUGGAAUUCUCGGUGUAGCGGUGAAAUGCGUAGAUAUCGAGAGGAACACCUGCGGCGAAGGCGGGUUGCUGGGCUGACACUGACGCUGAGGCGCGAAAGCUAGGGGAGCGAACGGGAUUAGAUACCCCUGUAGUCC